AGCAGAGUAGCAGAAGGCAGAUCUACUGGCCACUGGCUUAACAGGUUUCUGUUCCCUGACUGACCAGAGCAGGGGCUGCUCCAGGCUAAUGAGAACACCUGACUCCAAUUAACCUGCAAAGAGUCAGGUGAGGCCAUUAAACUAAUGUGACCACCUGACUCUAAGGCCCUCUGAUACUAUAAAAGGGCUCACUCCAGUCUGGCAGAGGAGAGCCAGGGGAGAGGAAGUGCAGUUGAAGGGCUGGUUAAUGAAGACAUCCUCAAGCCAUUGGUAAGGGGGUGUAAGGACUCCAUUCAAUGAUUAGGACCCUAUUGGGCCAGUGCCUAGUGCAAAUAGCACAGUGACAUUCCCUGUCCCACAAAGGUCACAAUCAGGUAUCUAUACAACAGGUAACACCCACCUGAUAGGAUUUACAUUGGUGCCAGACAGCUGGGACACUUAGCUCUCAUAAUGGGCUUUUCCCACCCAAAUAAUGGACUAUAUUCCCACCCCAUCCCUCCCGGAUGCCACAGACUCUGAGGGGCCAAUGGCCACCCAUUGUGAGUUAUCAAAGCAUGUAACGACAUGCAUGAUAUGCUCAUGUGACUCUGGAUUCCAUCUUGGGCUAGUAACUUUCCACAAACAGAGGCUGUGGGCUUUGUCUGGGACAUUACAAUUCCAUGUACAUGGCAGAGGAUGUAAAAGGAUCUCAACAUUUUCAUUUUGUCAUUUCCUGCUUCAUUUCUCUGGACUGGAUUUCUAUCAAGGAAUCUUUGGACAAGGACUGAUAACCCAUAAUAUGUAUGGGUAAUUCCAGAGAGACUUUUGUAAGAUAGCAGUUUAUUCCAUCACUGCUAUGAUCCUGAUAUGGGAACACUUUGAAUUCCCUUGUAUGUAUCUGAUAUACUAGCCAU